CCCAAACAUGACGUCACGCCCCACUCUCCUCGCUCUAACAUUGGCCGGUUGCACGUCGCUCCCUCAGAUGCCGCGUUAGUCUACCACGCUCCCCACCCGUGCUAUGAUACUUCCCCGGCACGACUCUUUUGGUGCUCCCACACGCUUCGUCAUUCCACCGCUGCCUCACGAACCCCUCCCUCGCCGUACACCUGUAAGAUAAGGAGAGAGAGAGAGAGAGAGAGAGAGAGAGAGAGAGAGAGAGAGAGAGGGAAGAGAGAGAAACUGUGAGACUGUGAAACGUUUUAGAGAGAGAAAGUAGAGAGAGAGAGAGAGAGCGAAGAGAGAACGAGAUCUGAUCGGAGAAAAAGGCAAACGAAGCUCGAAGCUCUACCCCUUGUGGUUGUCGAUGCUGUAAGCCUAACUCUCUCUAGCUGAUUUGCUGUGAGGAAGCUCUAAUUGGACUUUUGCGUUUUGUGUGUGAGAUUUGGGGGAAAAAAUUAGGGUUUUGUUAAUUUCUGUUUUAUUUUGUCGGAUAGGGGAAAGAAACCCUAGGAUUUUGUGACUUAUGCGUGAGAGUUGGGGGAAAAAUUAGGGUUUUGUUAGUUUUUGUGUUUUUGUUUUGGGCGGAUAGCGGAACAACCCUAGGAAUCUUGGAUCUUUGUGGGAGGGAAAAACGGGAAUUAGGGUUCUGGGAGGUACAUGUAUGGCUUCAGGGCCUACAGUAGGAGAAGGUGAUGGAGCCAGAGAGAAACAGAGGUUCACGGAGAGCAAGGUCUAUACUCGAAAAGCUUUCAAAGGCCCCAAGAAGAACAACAUCAUCAACAACGCCAACGCCGACGCCAACACAAAUACUGACUCAACCGCCACUGCCUUAGCCGCCCCCUCCGCCCCUGCCGCCACCCCAACCACCACCAAGGACAACAACAUCAACGGGAAGGACAACAUCAUCAACAAUAACAAGAAGGACAGCAACAUCAACGAGAACGAGAAGGGCAUCAACGAGAACAAGAAAAACAGCAACAUCAACGUGAACGAGAAGGACAGCAACAACGUCGGGAACGAGAAGGACAGCAGCAACGUCGGGAACGAGAAGGACAGCAGCAACGUCGGGAACGAGAAGGACAGCAGCAACGUCGGGAACGAGAAGGACAGCAGCAACGUCGGGAACGAGAAGGACAGCAACAACGUCGGGAACGAGAAGGACAGCAACAACGUCGGGAACGAGAAGGACACCAACAACGUCGAGAACCAGAAGGACUGCAACAACGAUGAAAACAAGGACACCAAUAGUGAGAACAAGCAUAACGGGAAUAAUGAUGAGAAUUCCACUCAGCCUCCGGCUCAGACUGUGCUGUCUGGGGAUGGGAAUUCCGCUCAGCAGCAGCUGCUCAUUUCACAGUCUGGUGCUGCUGCCUCUGAUGACUCCUCGAGCCUGAACCGGCAAGAACCCGCGGUGACAGCAGUAGAGGCAGUGUUAGAGGCAACUAUUGAGCAAGAAAGUCGGAAUUCACCUGCAGAGAAUGGGGUGGUCAAGCCGACUUCAGAUAGCCGAAUUAAGCUUAAUUUUGCUUCAAGGUCGAAGCAGGACAAGCGGAAGCUACGAAGGAAGCUUGAGAGCGAGCUUGAUUUGGUGCGGAGUUUGGUGAAGAGGAUUGAAGCCAAACAGGGGCAGAUUGGUGGGGUUAGUCUCUCCCAUAUUUCAGUGAAUGAUGGGGCGAAUAGUGCAGGUGGAGGACUGAGGCGGGUUAACUCUGAGGUUGCUUCUGUAGGUGUUCCUCGAGAGCCUACCAGGCCUUUGCAUCAGCUGAGUAUAUCCGUGUUAGAGAAUAGUCAAGGAAUGAGUGAUAUUGUGGAGAAAGAGAAGAGAACCCCCAAGGCGAACCAGUUCUAUCGUAAUUCUGAGUUUUUGCUGGCCAAGGAUAAGAUUCCACCUGCUGAGAGUAACAAGAAGUCGAAAUCGAAUGGGAAAAAACAUGGUGGAGGAGAAUUGGGGCAAGGGUUUGGUGGGAUGGGAAGCAAGUUUUUCAAGAGUUGCAGUUCUUUGCUUGAAAAAUUGAUGAAACACAAGCAUGGUUGGGUGUUUAAUGAACCUGUUGAUGCUGCAAAGCUUGGUUUGCACGAUUAUCAUAUCAUUAUCAAGCAUCCAAUGGACUUGGGUACCAUUAAGUCGAGGUUGAACAAGAAUUGGUACAAGUCUCCGAAAGAAUUUGCGGAGGAUGUGAGACUUACAUUUCACAAUGCCAUGACCUAUAACCCCCAAGGGCAGGAUGUUCAUGUCAUGGCAGAGCAAUUAUCCAGAAUAUUUGAGGACAGGUGGGCUAUCAUAGAGUCAGAUUACAAUCGUGAGAUGAGGUUUGGAUAUGAUUAUGGGGUUAAUCUUCCAACACCUACACCGAGAAAGGCACCUCUGCUGCCACCACCUCCUCUUGAUAUGCGAAGGAUUUUGGACAGGUCCGAGUCCAUUUCUCAUCACGCUGAUCCGAAGCCAAAACCCAUGACUAUUACUCCUAGGACCCCCGCUCCUAAGAAGCCCAAGGCUAAAGAUCCUCAUAAAAGGGACAUGACUUAUGACGAAAAGCAAAAGCUUAGCACCCAACUCCAGAGUCUGCCUUCAGAGAAGCUGGAUGCCAUUGUACAGAUUAUAAAGAGGAGGAAUUCAUCACUCUUCCAGCAUGAUGAUGAAAUUGAAGUGGACAUAGAUAGCGUCGAUACCGAGACCCUGUGGGAGCUGGACAGGUUUGUAACCAACUACAAGAAGAGUUUGAGCAAACACAAGCGAAAAGCUGAAAUGCAAGCCAGAGCAGAAGCUGAGCAGAAUGUCCAGCAGCAGACCCAGGCCCCAGUUGCAGCAGAGGUUCCGAAACAACCUAAAACCGAUGAAAGGAUUGUUUCCUCUUCAACACCCAUUCAAGGGGAUAACCAGGGUGAUAAUAGGAGUAGGUCGAGUAGUUCAAGCAGCUCCAGCAGUGAUUCUGGAUCUUCCUCCAGUGACUCAGAUAGUGAUAGUUCGUCAGCAUCUGGAUCGGAUGCGGGGUCGCCUAGGACUUAACUAUUUUCUUUUGAGCACGUCGUGUACGGUCCUUUCCAAUAAUUACGAGGCAGACUUAUAAGGGAAUAACCUGUCUUUCUCCUGGGAGAGGGUGUCAGCAUCAGAUCAAUCUCUGAAAAUUAGGGUAGAUGGUGAUCGGAAGCUUUUUCAGACAAAUGUUCGAUUUGAAUCUGUGAUUGGUGUAUAGUGGAAAUUUUGCUCCGAGGCCUCCAACCAUCCUGCUGCAAGUAUAGAAUGGGUUUCUCUCUGACUGUUGUGUUAAUUUGAUUCCUCAAUGUGUAUGCGUCGGGGCUCCGUUGGUCUUGUCAGAAUUUGUAUAAUAUUGGUAGAAUGUGGUGAUAAAUAGAUAACAGUUGGUCUGUUUUCGAUAGCACAUGUACAUUGCUAAGUAGUGCGACUGCGACCGCGACCCAUCUAAAUUUCGACGACUUGUUUUUGGUUUGGUGCUGACAGAUUCUAGGAUGCUUUGGUGAAUACAAAAUUAGAUAGCCUGUAAUCCAACUUCAUUCAUAUGAAUUCUCUUGUAUUCCCAUGAGAUUGCUCUGUUUAGUAGAUUUGUAUGCACUUUUGUGGACUCUCUGAA